CCCCUAGUACGGCGAGUGAAGAGGGAAGAGCCCAAGAUUGAAAGCUGGCGUCUUCGGCGUCCGCAUUGUAAUCUCAAGAAGUGUUUUCCGCUUCGGACCAAGCCUAAGUCCCUUGGAAAAGGGCAUCAUAGAGGGUGAUAAUCCCGUACAUGGCUUGGAGCGCCCGAAGCUUUGUGAUACGCUUUCUAAGAGUCGAGUUGUUUGGGAAUGCAGCUCAAAAUGGGUGGUAAAUGCCAUCUAAGGCUAAAUAUUGGGGAGAGACCGAUAGCGAACAAGUACAGUGAUGGAAAGAUGAAAAGAACUUUGAAAAGAGAGUUAAACAGUACGUGAAAUUGCCAAAAGGGAAGGGUAGGAGGUCAGAGAUGCGGCCUGGGAUUCAGCCUUGCUUUUGCUUGGUGUUUUUCCCAGAUUGCAGGCCAACGUCGGUUUUGGGCACUGGAGAAGGGUAGGAGGAACGUGGCACCUCUCGGGGUGUGUUAUAGCCUCCUACUGGAUACAGCGACCGAGACCGAGGACAGCAGCGUACUCGCAAGAGCGGGCCUUCGGGCACCUUUACGCUUAGGGCGUUGGCAUAAU
rnacentral:rRNA from 1 species